rnacentral:antisense_RNA from 1 species
UUUUAGUUAGAAAUUACAAGUUUAUUUUUAUAUUUUGAAAAAGGCGUAAUAGAAAACAAAAAUAAACAACCAGGCAUAUCAAUAUUUGUGACAUACACACAAAAAUGAAUAUAGGAAAUAACACGAAGAAAAAGCAUAGUAUGUUUUGAAACCAACGUGGGGUAUGAACAGAUUUUUGAUGAAAUACAACUAAAGGUUUUAAGUGUCUAUGUAAUGUUCGAGAUAUUACGAUCACUCUUAUCCUACUAGCAAAAAUUAGCAAACUAGGCUUUAAAACAUGAUUCCUGUUGUUUUAGCAGGAUUUAUUUUGGUAAUGAUCCUGCUUCCUUAUAAACAACUAGUUUACUUAUCAUUGUUGAAGGCUUCUUGUGUUAAGGAGUGCAAUGAGGCCAGGCGUGGUGGCGCGUGCCUAUAGUCCCAGCUACUUGGGAGGCUGAGGUGGGAGGAUCACUUGAGCCUGAGAGGUCAAGGCUGCAGUGAGGUCAAGAUCGGGCCACACCACACUCUCAGCAACCUGGGUGACAGAGUGAGAUCCUGUCUUAAAAAAAAAAAA